rnacentral:rRNA from 1 species
GUGGCUUCCGGAGCUAACGCGUUAAGUCGACCGCCUGGGGAGUACGGCCGCAAGGUUAAAACUCAAAUGAAUUGACGGGGGCCCGCACAAGCGGUGGAGCAUGUGGUUUAAUUCGAUGCAACGCGAAGAACCUUACCUACUCUUGACAUCCAGAGAACUUAGCAGAGAUGCUUUGGUGCCUUCGGGAACUCUGAGACAGGUGCUGCAUGGCUGUCGUCAGCUCGUGUUGUGAAAUGUUGGGUUAAGUCCCGCAACGAGCGCAACCCUUAUCCUUUGUUGCCAGCGAUUAGGUCGGGAACUCAAAGGAGACUGCCAGUGAUAAACUGGAGGAAGGUGGGGAUGACGUCAAGUCAUCAUGGCCCUUACGAGUAGGGCUACACACGUGCUACAAUGGCAUAUACAAAGAGAAGCGACCUCGCGAGAGCAAGCGGACCUCAUAAAGUAUGUCGUAGUCCGGAUUGGAGUCUGCAACUCGACUCCAUGAAGUCGGAAUCGCUAGUAAUCGUGGAUCAGAAUGCCACGGUGAAUACGUUCCCGGGCCUUGUACACACCGCCCGUCACACCAUGGGAGUGGGUUGCAAAAGAAGUAGGUAGCUUAACCUUCGGGAGGGCGCUUACCACUUUGUGAUUCAUGACUGGGGUGAAGUCGUAACAAGGUAACCGUAGGGGAACCUGCGGUUG